UCUAUCUUGUUUGAUUACAUGUGCAUCAAAUA
rnacentral:piRNA from 1 species